rnacentral:misc_RNA from 1 species
GAUGAAGAACGUAGCAAAAUGCGAUAAGUAAUGUGAAUUGCAGAAUUCAGUGAAUCAUCGAAUCUUUGAACGCACAUUGCGCCCGCCAGUAUUCUGGCGGGCAUGCCUGUUCGAGCGUCAUUUCAACCCUCAAGCACAGCUUGGUGUUGGGACUCGCGUUAAUUCGCGUUCCCCAAAUUGAUUGGCGGUCACGUCGAGCUUCCAUAGCGUAGUAGUAAAACCCUCGUUACUGGUAAUCGUCGCGGCCACGCCGUUAAACCCCAACUUCUGAAUGUUGACCUCGGAUCAGGUAGGAAUACCCGCUGAACUUAAGCAUAUCAUAAGCAGGA